rnacentral:rRNA from 1 species
UACGAAGGGUACAAGCGUUGUUCGGAAUUACUGGGCGUAAAGCGCGCGUAGGCGGAUGAGUAAGUCGAUUGUGAAAUCCCUGGGCUUAACCUGGGAACUGCAGUCGAAACUGCUUAUCUUGAGUGCCUGAGAGGAUGGCGGAAUUCCCGGUGUAGUAGUGAAAUACGUAGAUAUCGGGAAGAACACCUGAGGCGAAGGCGGCUAUCUGGCGGUGCACUGACGCUGAGGCGCGAAAGCGUGGGGAGCAAACAG